GGAACUGGAGUCUGUUGUAGACAAUGAUCAGUGUAAGAUCUACUGGAAUUUCUUGUUUUACAUCAUUAAACGUAUGAGUGUUGCAAAGGAGGAAGAAAAACGGACGCAAUAUCAGGCUCUUCUUUUCGAGCUGAGCAGGCUGUACCAAGGCUACAAAGUCCAUCUCAACAAAAUCCCGACUUGCCAGCAACAGUUUUAGACGAUCGCAAGUCACAUUCCAAAGGCUGUUCUACUGGAAUCACUGCAUCGGGUUCGACAACACUUUCCUCCUAACAUUGCACAAAGGUCAGAAAGCAUAGAUUCCAACCAGUAAUCUUGAGGCAGUGGAUCUUGAAUUAGAAAUUUCAAGGAAAUUUAAUAAUUAAAACUUAUAACGUUUUUGCUAUGAUCAGGCAAAUGAAGUACAACGCCCGUUUGAACUUAAUGCAGCAGGAUUGCUAACAUAAAAAGGAGUUUUCUUAAUUUAUAAUAGAAUAUAAUGAUGAUUUAAACAGGAGAAAUCAAAUAAUUGAAAAACAAAACGAGAAAGCCCAGCAGAUGGCCGAAAUUUAGACUCAGGACGUGAACAAAACUAAAAACUGAAUAGUACAAGAUAUAUAAAAAACUAAAAUCAUAAAAAAUAGUCUGCAGUAUUUAAAUUAUUUAAUAGAUUAUAAUUUAUUUAGUAACGAUUUUUUUAAUUAUUUAAAGGUGAAGUUGAAAGUGAAAAGCAUAGAAUUACAUUUUUUCUAUCCAAAAUCUGAUCAAUCAACACUCAGGUCUGUAAAGAAAUGAAAAUAAUAGCAAAGAGAGUACAGGCGAAUCGAAUAUUUGGCCUUGGAAAACGUGUGGCAAAAAAUUAAAUCCGAGAAGUAAGCUCGAAAAGCUUAGGAAAUAUGAAAAUGGAAUGCGAAAAUAUCAAUUCUUGGAAUGUGUACGUAUCACAGUGAAGAAAAAAUGGAAAUUCCAUGGUUAACACUGCAUGUUUUCCUUUCAUAUUUUGUAACGGGUCAACGCUGCUGCCGGUACUUUACGGAAGGAAUGGCAGUGAGAUACGUUCUAUCGCCGCAAUAAUAAACGCUUCAUAGUCAGAGUACACAAUACCCAAUAUUGUCUCACAAUGGAAUCGUGUAUUAUUCAUCCAUACGUUCA